CGCACAUUGCGCCCCUUGGUAUUCCGAGGGGCAUGCCUGUUCGAGCGUCAUUUAACCACUCAAGCUCUGCUUGGUGUUGGGUGCCCGGCCUAUUCAGGCCCACCCGUAACUCGUUGGCGGUGUGUGCCGGCUCCUAGCGUAGCAAUUUUUCGCUCCGGGGCCUGGUGCUCGCCUGCCAGAAAUUCUACACCUUAAAGUUUGACCUCGGAUCAGGUAGGGAUACCCGCUGAACUUAA
rnacentral:misc_RNA from 1 species